rnacentral:rRNA from 1 species
CGGCGGCCCGAGUGGUAGCCGUUUUUAUUGGGUCUAAAGGGUCCGUAGCCGGCUUGAUAAGUCUUUUGGGAAAUCUGACAGCUUAACUGUCAGGCUUCUAAGGGAUACUGUCAGGCUUGGGACCGGAAGAGGUAAGGGGUACUCCAGGGGUAGGAGUGAAAUCUUGUAAUCCCUGGGGGACCAUCUGUGGCGAAGGCGCCUUACCAGAACGGGUCCGACGGUGAGGGACGAAAGCUAGGGGAGCAAACCGGAUUAGAGACCCGAGUAGUCC